rnacentral:tRNA from 1 species
UCCUCGACCGGCCGGGAGGCCAGCAGCGAGGUCGCCUCGCGAGCGACCGCUUCGCCGUCGUUCGGGUUGGACGCCUGAUUGCGGGC